UUAAAUUGAGAUAUAAUUCAUAUAACAUUUCACAUAACAAAAAUUUCACCAUUUUCAAAGUGUUCAACUAGGUAGUUUUUAGUACAUUCACAAAGUUGUGCACCCAUCACCUCUAUUUAAUUCUAGAACAUCUCCAUAACCCCAAAAAGAAACCGGGCAUCUGUAAGCAGUCAGUCCCAAUUCUCCUUUUCUUCAAACCCAGGCAACUGUUACUCUAUUUUCUGACUAUGGAUUAAGAGGCACUGUGAACUUCAAACAAACAGAGCAGAAGGUGAAGCUGUGUUAAGUUCUAUGAUCUUAACUACGUAUAUAUAUUAAAAACUGGAAAAAAUACAUCAAAAUUUGAACAUUCAUUGCCUCUUGGGGAUAGUCUUGUUUCUUUGCAUUUUUCUCUACUUUCCAAAUUUUCUAAAAUUAGAAUUAGAAAACAAAAAUCAAACACUCAUAUUUCAGUGAGAGGUCACAAAAUAUGUAUCCCCGAGUCUUCUAGUUUCUCCCAGUAAAAAAAGCUCCUCCCUUUGAAGGCCCGCACUAGCUUAUCCCUCCAAGUUAACUUAUUUCUCCAAGUUUUCUUUUUCCAGGAGCUGCCAAAAAGCUUUCAGCUGCUGCAUUGGCCGGGAAUCGAACCCGGGCCUCCCGCGUGGCAGGCGAGAAUUCUACCACUGAACCACCAAUGCUCCAGCUGAGUGCUGUUCUGCCUCCAGCUGUUUUGU
rnacentral:tRNA from 10 species